ensembl:lncRNA
CUAGUGAACGGUACAACAUGGGGUACUGAAACACCCAUAUCACUAUUGAUAGGUACAGCAUGGGGUACUGAAAUCCCCAUAUCACUAGUGACAGGUACAGCAUGUGGUACUGAAAUCCCCAUAUCACUAGUGACAGGUACAGCGUGGGGUACUGAAACCCCCAUAUCACUAGUGACAGGUACAGCAUGUGGUACUGAAACACCCAUAUCACUAGUGACAGGUACAGCAUGGGGUACUGACACCCCCAUAUCACUAUUGACCGGUACAGAGUAGGGUACUGAAACCCCAUAUCACUAGUGACAGGUACAGCAUGUAGUACUGAAAUCCC